AUGGCAAUGGGGUGUAUAUUUCACUCAGGGCAGAUAAACCUUGACAGUUGAGUUAGAGUACUAGAUUUUCUUAGAUGUUUCAGUGAAUUUACAAUGCUGAGUGCACUUGAAACCUAAAAUCAGAGAGAAUGGCACUGCUGCUCUAAUAAGACCUGGGGAAAUCAGAAACCUGGUUGUCUCCUAUGAGCACUGCUUUCCAGAAAACUCUCUCAACCAGUAGACUUCAUUCCGUUUAUGCCUAAAGAGAACAUACGUUGAGCAAACCAAGGAAGGCUCUGGCAUAAACUAGAGCUGGUGACAUGGGACAUCAAACUAAGCUGUGAUUACUUCAUCAGAGAUUACCUUUCUAGAGGAUUCUGAAAAGAUUUGAUAUAAGCUGCAGUUAUGAUUCUAACUGAAGUUAAGUCGUGAGCCUGGGAAGACAUUGAAAAGUUCAAAGGAACCUUGAAUUCUUGUGAAUCACAACUACAAUGCUGGAAUUCAUCUUGAAAAGACAAUGCAUUGUGUGUUUCAUACAUCAUCUAACACAGUGUUUGGGCUCUUAUUACAGGCUACAUGAUACUGAUGUUUAUUUUUGGAAUAGGCUUUCUUCUGAGAGAAGAGUUGCUUGAAAUCAUGCAGAUGUAUUUUAAGAAUGUACUCAAGAGAGGCACCCAAGAAGACAUUUUUGUAUGGAGAUGGCAACUUUCAGGUGGGAGAAACUCCCAAAGAGAUUUGAUUUAUUAUCCUUCAUGCAUUCUGUAAUAUCCAGGGCAGAAAAUGAAGUGAGACUUGAACUUGGAGAGAAAACAAUGUCCUUUUCUUUUGAAGAGGAUCAGGAAGCUGAAAGAAGGAUUCCUGACAGUCAGGCUAAGCUGGACACCUCUAUGGAAACCUGCCAGGAGCUCUUCAAGAAUAAUGAAGUAGAGCCUAGAACCAUGGACUUUAAGAAUAGAUAAUAGCAGUUAUAAACUACUUUUUCUUUCUAUUUCCAUGUUCUCUAAGUUUUCCAAAUCUUAAAUCUUAUUAGAAGGUGCAGUCCUAUCUCUUUUGUGUUAUGGAAGAUAAGAGAACAUAAUGUCUCCUUCCAUCCAUUAAAGGUCAUUGAGGAGCAUUAAGAUGAUUACUUUUGGCUCCAAAUCCCAACUUCGUGUCUAUAUCACAAAGUUUGGCAGCAUGGAAGGCAGUAUCAGAGGGGAAAAAACUUGAGUUUAAUUUUUUUUUUUUUCUGGAAAAAACUGAGGCAGUUCCCAAGAAGUUAACAGAAAUAGCUGGGAAGCCAGUUUCUGAAAUUCAGGCGGCUCGGGACCUUGACAAAAUAAUUUGAUGGAAAACAGAUACACAAAGUCAUUCUAUAGACAUAGGAUAGUGAAGUUCAAGGACAAACAGCAUUAUUACACAGAAUCUAUUGUCUGAAGACAAUAGAUUUUUUUUUGGAAUUUUUUUGUAAUUCUGAAGCAUCCACUCUGUUAACUGUUCUUUUAGCUUCUUUGGCAUAGGGGAUGAACUAGAAAUCUUCCCUUGGCUUAGAGUAUAUAUUUAUUUCUAUAAGGGCGGAUUCAGAGAGCUUUUCCUUGUACCACUUUCUCCUUCACAAAGAUGUAUUUGGAAACCUCCCUGAGAAUUGGCAACAGUUCUUACGUUUCCUAAAAAUGUUCAAACUAUUGAACAUUCAAACUCACAUGCAAAUUUCCUCUUGGGGACAGUACUAGAAACCACAGAUUAUCUAGGAAAAAAUAAAUAACUCUAAAUUGAAAUUCCACUUAAUGGUAUCAUAAACACAAAACACACUAAACCAUUUACUAGAAUUAUUUUAAAAACUUAUUAGAAUUAUUUUAAUGGUAAUUUUUAAACAUUGGGGUACAGGUGUCCCUUUGAAUCACUGCAUUUGUAUCUUUGGGGUGAAUACCUAAUAGUCUAAUUGCUGGGUUGUUUCAUUCAUAUGUGUAAUACAAGAAACAGCACAGGGGAUCAUAGGGAAAGGGAGGGAAAAUUGAAUGGGAAGUCAUUAAAGAGGAAAAAAAACCAUGAGAGACUCUUAACUAUAGGAAACAAACAGGAUUGUUGGAGAG